GUGGUAAGUAACAGACAUAUUUUUAUGAAUACUAAAAGAUUUAUUCCUUUAAAAGGUAAUGGAACAGGAUAACCAGAUAUACUAAAAAAAUCUUUUAUUCCUCUCCGUCUUAAGGAAGGUAGGGCUUGAUUACUUUUUUAGAAUUAAGUAUAUGACUGCAAUGUCAAUUGUCAAUGAGAGGAACAAGGUAUAGAAAAGAAAAUUGAUGGUAAAUUACUACAAAAUGAAAGACCGAUGAAACUAUAUUUAAAAGAUAAGGUGAUUCGAUAGGUCAAACAUAAAAACUAUAUACUAUAUUAAUAAUAUGUUAAAG
rnacentral:lncRNA from 1 species